AGGGAACAAUUGCUAUUCCAUUACAGAGACAUCAGGCCGGCUCGGCCCUGGAUCGGGGCGCUCCUCCGAUCUGGCGGCCGGUGAGCCGGGGUUCGCCGGAUCCGCCCGGAUCUGGCCGGCGUGGCCCUGCCUCGUCCUGCCCGGCUUGGGUCGCGGUGUGGUGCUCCCUGGUGGCGGCGGUAUGGGUCUUUCUCCAUGGUUCGACGGGAUGUGUGCGGUGGGUGGAUGCCGGGGCAGCGGCCUCGGGUGGUGUGGAUGGCGUUGCCUCUGCGGGCGACGGCCGUGGGUGCUGGUGGUCCGCGACUUCGGCCGCGCGGGCGGCGAGGUCUCGGUGGACGUCUACUACAGUGGGUCGGGGUGCCCCGUCACUCGGCGUGCCUGCUUCGAUGAAGUCGAACGCCUUCUUCAGCUGCGUGCGCUCCUCUGGCCAGGUCUUUGGCCGAGUGGAUGGGAUGGGGGCGGGACCGGGGGAAACCCUUGGCCGUCGGCGGAGGCCACGACAAUGGCGACGCCUUUGCUGGGCGUCGGUUCCCUUCUUGGAGGCCUUGUCGAGGUCCUCUCCCAUCUUUCACUGUGCUCUUCUUUUGGGCGAAAGCUCUAGUUCCCCUUGUGGGCGAUGGCGUCGUACCCUCGUCGUGCUCCUUCUUGAAGGCGUCGCCUCGGGUUCCCGGAAUCACGGUGGGCGCUUUGCGGUGCGUGUGAGGUGUUUGGCGGCGGCAAUGUGUGCAACGUUUCAUCUAUUCUACCGCCGGUCUUCAUCUUGUGGUAGCGCUCCUUCGGCUUGGAGAUGGACUGGCAUAGGUGGUGGUCGUCAUUUGGCGUCAUGGUGGCGUCGAUGGCGGAGGAACCUGCCAAGGUUGGUACCUCAAUCUGCUCUAAAGAUGGACAAGUGGAAGAUGGUGGCGACGACACAUGUGAGUGCGUCGGACUGGAUUGUGCCCCGGACCCGGUAUGUGGCUCGGUCGGGGCUUCCAGUUUUAGAUGUUAGGCUUAGGUGAGAGGCCUGGGUAUAUGGCCCAGCUUGCACCCCUUCUUCAUAUGGAUAGGAGUAGCGGCAUAUGUUGCCAAGAUGGCGGAUUCAGGCAUAUUAUUGUACUACUUUGUAAGGUCCUCGAGAAUAAUCAAUAAAAUGGCCGCAUGCAUCUCCCCGAUGCAGAGGCCGGGGGUCAUCCUCCUUUUCUAAAAAAAAAUUACAGAGACCUGCUGGUUAAAUCCCCAGCUACAGAGUUCAUUACAAGUUCAGGAAACUGGCCUAACCAGAUUUCAUACAUGCCAUCUCCUAAGCUAGCUCCAUGUGCUGCUAAGACAUGCGCUGCAUUGUUACAAGACCUAGGGCAUACAUAAAGUUUUACAUUCUCAAAAGCGACCCUCAGUUGAAAUUUUAUCUCUUGGAACAAGGCUCCGAGUGGCGCUGGGUCAUAGUCCUCACUUGAAAUUGCUUGCUUCAGCA
rnacentral:lncRNA from 1 species